rnacentral:rRNA from 1 species
UCGGGAAUUUUGGGCAAUGGGCGAAAGCCUGACCCAGCAACGCCGCGUGAGGGAUGAAGGCCUUCGGGUUGUAAACCUCUUUUCUCAGGGACGAUGAUGACGGUACCUGAGGAAGAAGCCACGGCUAACUACGUG